rnacentral:rRNA from 1 species
AGUGAACGCUGGCGGUAGGCCUAACACAUGCAAGUCGAACGGCAGCACAGUAAGAGCUUGCUCUUACGGGUGGCGAGUGGCGGACGGGUGAGGAAUACAUCGGAAUCUACUUUUUCUUGGGGGAUAACGUAGGGAAACUUACGCUAAUACCGCAUACGACCUACGGGUGAAAUCAGGGGAUCUUCGGACCUUGCGCGAUUCAAUGAGCCGAUGUCGGAUUAGCUAGUUGGCGGGGUAAAGGCCCACCAAGGCGACGAUCCGUAGCUGGUCUGAGAGGAUGAUCAGCCACACUGGAACUGAGACACGGUCCAGACUCCUACGGGAGGCAGCAGUGGGGAAUAUUGGACAAUGGGCGCAAGCCUGAUCCAGCCAUACCGCGUGGGUGAAGAAGGCCUUCGGGUUGUAAAGCCCUUUUGUUGGGAAAGAAAAGCAGCAGGUUAAUACCCCGCUGUUCUGACGGUACCAACAGAAUAAGCACCGGCUAACUUCGUG